GGCUCAGUAGCUCAGUGGUUAGAGCGCAAAACUAGUAAUCUGGAGGUCGUGAGUUCGAUCCCCGCUGGAGCCU